AGCCCCUAGCGCAGACGGCGGAGAGCAGAGAGGGAGCGCGCCUUGGCUCGCUGGCCUUGGCGGCGGCUCCUCAGGAGAGCUGGGGCGCCCACGAGAGGAUCCCUCACCCGGGUCUCUCCUCAGGGAUGACAUCAUCCGUCCACCUCCUUGUCUUCAAGGACCACCUCCUCUCCAUGCUGAGCUGCUGCCAAGGGGCCUGCUGCCCAUCUACACCUCACGAGGGCACUAGGAGCACGGUUUCCUGGAUCCCACCAACAUACAAAGCAGCCACUCACUGACCCCCAGGACCAGGAUGGCAAAGGAUGAAGAGGACCGGAACUGACCAGCCAGCUGUCCCUCUUACCUAAAGACUUAAACCAAUGCCCUAGUGAGGGGGCAUUGGGCAUUAAGCCCUGACCUUUGCUAUGCUCAUACUUUGACUCUAUGAGUACUUUCCUAUAAGUCUUUGCUUGUGUUCACCUGCUAGCAAACUGGAGUGUUUCCCUCCCCAAGGGGGUGUCAGUCUUUGUCGACUGACUCUGUCAUCACCCUUAUGAUGUCCUGAAUGGAAGGAUCCCUUUGGGAAAUUCUCAGGAGGGGGACCUGGGCCAAGGGCUUGGCCAGCAUCCUGCUGGCAACUCCAAGGCCCUGGGUGGGCUUCUGGAAUGAGCAUGCUACUGAAUCACCAAAGGCACGCCCGACCUCUCUGAAGAUCUUCCUAUCCUUUUCUGGGGGAAUGGGGUCGAUGAGAGCAACCUCCUAGGGUUGUUGUGAGAAUUAAAUGAGAUAAAAGAGGCCUCAGGCAGGAUCUGGCAUAGAGGAGGUGAUCAGCAAAUGUUUGUUGAAAAGGUUUGACAGGUCAGUCCCUUCCCACCCCUCUUGCUUGUCUUACUUGUCUUAUUUAUUCUCCAACAGCACUCCAGGCAGCCCUUGUCCACGGGCUCUCCUUGCAUCAGCCAAGCUUCUUGAAAGGCCUGUCUACACUUGCUGUCUUCCUUCCUCACCUCCAAUUUCCUCUUCAACCCACUGCUUCCUGACUCGCUCUACUCCGUGGAAGCACGCUCACAAAGGGCUAAUCUCGGGCCUUGUCGAAGGAAGAGGCUGCAGACGUUAAUGAGGUUAGCUGCUGGAUUCCAGUAUUCGUCGCAUAAGGAUCCUUCUUUGUCUGCGAAGGAAAAACACACUGAUUAUCAUAAUGAGUUCCUGACCUGGCCAUCCCGGGGUGCCCUUGACCAGCCCCGUGUCUCCUCAGGGUGUCCCAGCACCAGCCUGGCACAGAGUGGGGCUCAGUUAGAGUAUGUGGGAUGUUGGUUUCGCCAGGCACGUGGGCCGUGGCCCGGCUGGGUCGGCUGAAGAACUGCGGAUGGAAGCUGCGGAAGAGGCCCUGAUGGGGCCCACCAUCCCGGACCCAAGUCUUCUUCCUGGCGGGCCUCUCGUCUCCUUCCUGGUUUGGGCGGAAGCCAUCACCUGGAUGCCUACGUGGGAAGGGACCUCGAAUGUGGGACCCCAGCCCCUCUCCAGCUCGAAAUCCCUCCACAGCCACGGGGACACCCUGCACCUAUUCCCACGGGACAGGCUGGACCCAGAGACUCUGGACCCGGGGCCUCCCCUUGAGUAGAGACCCGCCCUCUGACUGAUGGACGCCGCUGACCUGGGGUCAGACCCGUGGGCUGGACCCCUGCCCACCCCGCAGGAACCCUGAGGCCUAGGGGAGCUGUUGAGCCUUCAGUGUCUGCAUGUGGGAAGUGGGCUCCUUCACCUACCUCACAGGGCUGUUGUGAGGGGCGCUGUGAUGCGGUUCCAAAGCACAGGGCUUGGCGCACCCCACUGUGCUCUCAAUAAAUGUGUUUCCUGUCUUAACAA
rnacentral:lncRNA from 1 species